GGAAGACCAAGCAACUGCGAUUGCUUCAGUAAAGGCGAUUGAACUGGCAUCAUACAUGGCUCAGCCCGAACGAGAUUCCCAUCUGCACUGCCUCGGCAGAACUAUGCAGUCGGCUACUGUGGGUUUCACCAGAUGCUGUGGGCUAUGGAGCGGAAGGCUGUGUUGUGGUUGGCUGUGGCACCAGGAAACGCCCUGGAAUGGUCUGCAACAGAGGGAUAUUGCCCCGUACCUCGAAGAGUGUGCCAUGGUCACUGCGGCGCUGUCGACCGUAUCCACGAGUAGAGCGGCUUGGGACUGCAGUUUGAAGUGCGAUGUGUAUCCAUCGCAAGGUGAAAUACCGACAUGGGACCGAUAGCGCACAAGUAGAGUGAUUGAAGGAUGCAAAGGACUUUGCAAAGAGGGUUAAAAGUUCCUGAAGCCUCGGCAGGAUCGGCGGUGAGCAGUGCUGUGACCCUUGUCACUAUCCUGGAUGGUGUGUGCGGUGCGUGCUGGCUGGGCUUCGGCUCUGCUGGGCGUAUCCUCUCCACCACGCCCAAGUUGGUGAAUCAUGAGCUUCCAAGCGACCUUGGGCCAGCCCAGAGCUGGUCACUGAGCCUAUCCCUGAAGGAGUGGACGCAAUCGUGACAGCAUCUACUGGUGGCACCCUGCUUGCCAGGGCCUGAGGUUCGUGGAGAACUCGGAGGGUGACGUCCUCCUUUGCUAUGUGCUGAGAGAGCCGUGUUCAUCGCUGCUGGUCGAACUAUGUGGUGUCAGACAGAACGCUCGAAAGGCUGGGUGAAAGCAGAUGUCUCCUCGCGGGGUGUUUGGUGCAGCCCUCGCCGAUUAAGGUUAGUAAUCUCACGCCCAUGGGGCGGCCUGGUGGUGGUGCAUGGCAAUCGAUGUAUGUACAAGGAGCAAGGAUGAACUAUGUGCUGGUGCAGAGACAGAGCGCGGGACCUGGUGUGUCUUCGGGCAUGCCAGUCGCUGUUGCCCAUACACGGACAAGGGGUUCACUGGUCGGUUGUGAUUGCACCACGCGUUGGUGGUCACGGCAGGUCUGUGUACCUCCCGGAUGGUGCGCAGCGCAGAUGCGCAGAGCUUGGAGUGUUCAGCAGUGCUGUUCACUGCCCGUCUUGAAACACGGACCAAGGAGUCUAUGGAGCUUGCAGGUUCGCUGGUGUCAUCAUAGAAAGCCCGAUGGGCAAGGUGAAAGCGACUUCUACCCAGAUGGUGCAGUAGCCUAUGUCGAAGCCUUCGAGUACCUGGUCUUGCUUUAUGCAGAGUCGUCCAAACGGUGGCACACGAAGAUGUGCAAAGUAGAGGAAACGCCCUUGGUACCGGGCUUCAGUGGUUGUGCUGGACGUGACGCUGUCACGGGAACGGACCUUCUGUGAGUGUGCCCCGAUUGUUCGCCCUGUUCUCGAAUACCCUCUACGGGGUUCAGGCAUGUUGGGAAACUGGCUGUGCUUCACCCUGCCGAAGUAUCCGAUGGAACGACGACCGAUCGAUGUGGCUACGAUCGGCAAGCGAAGAGACUGUGAUGGAAGAGCGAACGGCCCUCCUUGGGGUCAGCGUUGUGCCCUGUGGAUGAUUCGAAAUGCCAUCGGACUGUUGCUUACCCAUACGAUGGCUCAGUACUGGGGAAAGAAGACCAAGGCUUGGUAUAACUGUUCUCUGCAUGGGACACCGGAUCUGAUGUCCAGUGGACUGGGUUCUGAGUGCUUGCAAGGUCCAUGGGACCCGAAAGGUGGUGAACUAUACCGUACUACGACGAAGCCGUGGGAAACUGCGGUGGAGGUCGGUCGCUGUUCUGACGUGCAAAUUGUGUAGCCUGAGUGUGGCAUAGGGGUGAAAGGCCAAUCGAACCACCUAGUAGCUGGUUUCCCUCGAAGUUUCCCUCAGGAUAGCUGGGCUCGAGUGCACCCACUUCCGAGUGGUUACGUCCGGUAAAGCAACGCAUGAGAGGCAAUCCCGGGGAGGCUUCCCUCCUCGACCUAUUCUCGAACUGUGAAUGGGCGUGGCUAACCCAUCAAGGCAUGCUUCUUCAUCGAUGUCUGAGGCAGAUCCCUUCGUGGAUCCUGUUCUCCAUGGCUUCUGAGCGUGUUAAGUCUGGUAGCUGCUGCCGCUUGUCGAACCAUACCUUGAGUUAUGGAAGAUUGGAGAACGCGACGAUCCUGCCGUCGCCCCGGCCUAUGUAGUGGAGAAGCGAGGCGCUCGGGAAACAGGUCGAUGGAAAGAAGGAGAGCCCCUUCUGUGCUUGGACUUGAUGCUUCCCCCACGCGGGGUUUGUGGAUACGAAGAGUAUGGCUUGUGGUGCCUUCUAACGGUCUGGAGCACCCGUCUGGCACUCUCCCCGAACGGCUGUUGGACCAGGCCGUCGUGUCUCAAAGAAACUAUGGUGCAAAAGCGAGUAUGCUGCUACUGCGGUGAACAAGUGUGCCUAUGUGGACCAGGAUUGGUAAGCAGUGCUGGUGAUGCGGGGUGCUCCGAGAGUGGACUUACAGAUCCCGAGUGCUGGCUCAUACACAGAUCCCACAAAGGAUGUUGCCUGCUAUGGAUAGCAGGUCGGUGGCCAUGAAGGUUGGAACCCGCUGAGGAAUGUGUAACAACUCACCUGCCGAAGUGUGCAGCUCCGAAAAUGGAUGGUGCCCAAGUCAGUGAAGCUGAAUUUGCCUUACAGUCCACCGCCGCUGUGGCAGCAGAGCAGAGCAUCGUUGUGUAGAAAGGACUUGGGAGAUCGCUGAGCAAGUCAGGGCUGACCCUGGCUGGAGCGUCUUCUGGCGCAGAUCUUGGUUGCAGUAGCGAGUACUCCAUCGGGUGAAGAGUGGAUAACACCCCGCUGUGUGUGGUUGAGGACUGGAGUGGAGCAGGUUUCCGCACCAAACAGCCGUUGAAUGCGGGUCAGCCGGCCGUGAGCCAAGUGGUAAAUCAUCCAACAACCAAAGCUGUCAUGGCAAAGAGUCUCGAGUGGUAAAUCGCCCAAGUGACGGGGGCAGCCUGCGGCAUGAGCUCUGCUCAAGAUGUCAAGGGUGUGCUUUCCCAGAAAGUGUGCUACUACUACACCGUGGCUUUGUGAUUCUGACAGGAAUGGCAAACAGGCAAGCAUGUGCAACAUUCUGCUGCGAUGGGCUUGGGGACAUGCCCAAUAUGACGGUGACAUUGCUCGAUAUCGUGCCCAGGCUUCGGGGCAGUGCACCCUCCAAGGAGUUCUCGUUUCCUCCUGAUGCAGGCUUAUGUGGGCUACCAAUUGGUAUGACAAAUGGCGACGUAUGUCCUCCGCUCAGCAAGGCAGCGUAAUCUUUGCGCUGGUGAGGCUCUGAAGAAAGACUCUACCACAGGUAUCUUCACGCUAUGGCUUUAUCAUCAAGGCUGAAACUGAAGAAUGUAUCUCCGUUAUGGUGACUCACUGGCUCCACUGAACUGCCUGGGACACAUUGUGUCCCUAGUCCCUUGCCUCCGUACUGAAUCACCGCAGCUGGUCUCUACGGCUAUACGCCGCUGGUCGACGGAUUGAAUGCAGCUAAGGGAAGUCGGCAAACUAGCCAUGUACCUUCGGAAGAUGUGGUGGCUCCAGAGGCCAAGUCACUGGGCCCAGCCAUGGGCGGCAUAUCUGCGGAGAUGAUCGCCCUGUGUGGGGAUCUCGGUUCUCGUGCGGGGAUUGACCACCCCUGCUGGUGUCGUUGAAAGGCAAGUCUCUCUCUCCGUGGCUGGGGAUGUCCAUGUCUUCGGGCGUGGCGUCCACCCUGGUGUCUAUACAGUGGCCCACGUGGAACUGUUGCUGUGCAAGGGAAUCUGACUGUUUAAUUGAAACACAGCUUUGUGACGGGACCAGCUGGCUGGUCCCAUGCAGUGACUUCUGCCCAGUGCUCUGAUUGUCAAGGCGAAGAGAUUCAGCCAAGCGCGGGUAAACGGCGGGAGUAACUAUGACUCUCUUAAGGUAGCCAAAUGCCUCGUCAACCAAUUAUUGACGCGCAUGAAUGGAUCAACGAGAUUCCUGCUGUCCCUAGUUGCUGUCCGGUGAACCAACAGCCAAGGGAACGGGCUUGGGCGUGUCAGCGGGGAAAGAAGAGCCUGUUGAGA
rnacentral:rRNA from 1 species